ACAGAUUACUUUUAAUAUUUUAAUGACAGUAAGCAGCACAUUAUAUUACAGCUUUUCAAAUUGAAUGGAGUGGGACUCUCAAGACACCCCUGCUUUGCAGACCUGUCAUACUUGUUGGAUAUAGACUUUGGGAAAAUACUUUCGGUGAAAGAAGACCUUCCUUUAAAAAUUGGGAAGUGCCUAUUCUUCCAAAAUUACUGAAAGGGGCUGACCUUGAAAAUGAUCUCAAUGUCCAACCAGCUGUUGAGGAGAGGGAUGAAUCAAGUUGCUUCAGAGACCUCCAGCUCACACACUAUUUACCUCCUACUACGUCAUGGAGGGCCAAAGGAUGGAUGAGAUGCAGCGUCAAAUCAGCCCUAUCUUACACACUCUUGUCUAUGAAUGUGUUUUUAUGAAUCUCAUCUCAGUUAUCAACAAAUGUUGAUGAGGCUUUUGCUUUUGCAUCCAGAUUGGAUGAUAUGGAAAUAAAUGCGACAAUAUUUUGGACCUUUUCAACAUUACAUCACAAUAUGUGCUUAAAUAUGGAAAAUCGCAUUUUAAAAAAUAAUAACCCAAUUGAUUGUUAAAUUUUGGCAGUGGAGACAAAGAAGAGGCUGGCUAGUAGGUUCCCAGGGACGGCACAAGGGCUGAGCACAUGGAAAAAACUCUGCAUUGAAGACACAAAUGCAGGCGAGCAGCAAGGCCAAAAGGAUUCCCUUAGCAAAUGGAGAAAAACACAUCUAAGGCAUUUAGAACAGGCUAAGAAUGCAGCGCAACUACCGAACAAGACGGAAUUACCUGGCAGCACAGUGGAGUGAAGACAGGUCUUUUAUGGGCAGGUUGAUUAGCUGAGUGGAGGCAGGUGUGACUUGUCUGAUGCAGGGGAAGCCAAUCACGCCCCCUGUCACACACAUACCAUAAAAAUAUAUGUUACUGUAUCCCACAAAAUCUGAUAUCUAGCUUUGGAAGUUUUUUAGCUUGAAAAUAAUUAUUUUUGCAAUGUGUGAAUAACUAUUAUAUGAUCAGUUUAUCACUAUUUUAGAUGAU